UACAGAGGGUGCGAGCGUUAAUCGGAAUUACUGGGCGUAAAGCGUGCGUAGACGGUUAUGUAAGUCAGGUGUAAAAGCCCCGGGCUCAACCUGGGAAUUGCAUUUGAGACUGCAUAGCUAGGGUGCGGAAGAGGGAAGCGGAAUUUCCGGUGUAGCGGUGAAAUGCGUAGAUAUCGGAAGGAACAUCAGUGGCGAAAGCGGCUUCCUGGACCAGCACCGACGUUCAGGCACGAAAGCGUGGGGAGCAAACAGG
rnacentral:rRNA from 1 species